AGCGGAGCGCCUCCUGCCCCGCGGCCGGCGCACCACCUCCCCUCGUCCCCCCGCGGCCGGCGCGCCACCUCCCCUCCUCCCCCGCAGCGAUCUCCCCUCCUCCCCAACGGCGGCGUGGCUCUGGAACGCCGGCGUGCUUUUGCCGGUCCAUGGAUCCCCGUGCGCCGCCGAAGGGCCCUGGUUCCCGAGUGCCAUCGCCGGUCCCCGGAUGCCACAAGCCGCCGCCUCCCUCCCCCUGAAUCCACCGCGAUGGUGGCCUCUCUCCUCCUGAAUCCAUCACAGCGGCGACCUCCCUCCCCCUGAAUCCACCGACGCGGCGGCCUCCCUCCCCCUGAAUCCACUACGGUGGCGGCCUCCCCCUGCUUCCAAUGCGACGUCACCCUCCGUCCCGCACGCUUCUUGCAAAAAGCACCCGUGCCAUUCACCUGCGGCAUGCUACUCCGCCGGCCGUCAACCUCACGCAGACCGUCGCCGAAUCCAUCUCUCGGUGUUGUCCCGACGGCGGCGGCGCCGUCUUUCCUCUGAUCCCCUCCAUCCCUUGGACGCCGAGCGGACCUGACGCAUGUGUCGUCCCCUGGAUCCAGCGUCAUCCGAGGUGCGGUGCCGUCCUGGGCAGGUCACAUGCAGCGCCCUGGGAAAGUCACCGGCAGCGCCUUGGGUCAGCUUCUCUUGAUGGGAAAGUACAGCUGCAAAAAGAAGAGUGCAUGGAAGCUUCUCCAAAAAAUUGGCCACCAUUACAGUUGCUUUCUGAAAUCAAGAUGUUGCUUGUUUGAGAGUACAGGGAAGAAGAAUAGCACGGAGAAGAUAACACAUCAUCACUUUGUGGAUAAUGUGAGACAAGAUGGAAACAUGCAAGUCCAGCACUAGUUAGUGCAUUUUUUAUGUAAAAAGGAUUGGGUGCAUGUAGUUACUGUGUGGCCAGGUCAUUUGAGAAAUAUUGUUUGUAAGCGUGCACUCUCUUUUUGCUGCUGAUUCUUAUGCUCAAAUUAUACCCAAAUUUCUACAGUUUUUGCACACUCA